rnacentral:rRNA from 1 species
CCUACGGGAGGCAGCAGUGAGGAAUAUUGGUCAAUGGGCGAGAGCCUGAACCAGCCAAGUCGCGUGAGGGAAGACGGUCCUAUGGAUUGUAAACCUCUUUUGCCGGGGAGCAAAAAGCGGUACGUGUACCGCAUCGAGAGUACCCGGAGAAAAAGCAUCGGCUAACUACGUGCCAGCAGCAGCGGUAAUACGUAGGGGGCAAGCGUUAUCCGGAUUUACUGGGUGUAAAGGGCGCGUAGACGGCAGCACAAGUCUGGAGUGAAAUGCCGGGGCUUAACCCCGGAACUGCUUUGGAAACUGUGCAGCUAGAGUGCAGGAGAGGUAAGUGGAAUUCCUAGUGUAGCGGUGAAAUGCGUAGAUAUUAGGAGGAACACCAGUGGCGAAGGCGGGUUGCUAGACUGUAACUGACACUGAGGCACGAAAGCGUGGGGAGCAAACAGGAUUAGAUACCCCUGUAGUC